GGAAGGACCAUUGGUUAGUGGUAGAGCAUCUGCUUUGCAUGCAGAAGAUCUCUGGUUCAAUUCCUGGUGUUUACA